rnacentral:rRNA from 1 species
AUGACGGCCUGCUUCAGCAGCAUCGAGGACUUGGUCGAUGACUUCUUCCCGGGCCAUUCCGUUGCUGCGAACCAGAUCAUCGAGGCCCAACGUGAAGAGCAGAGGGCGGAGGGCGUGCAGAUUGCUACUGACGCCCCCCGGACCCUCAACGAGCAGCUCCUCAGUAUCCAGGCCCGCCUUCGGCCUGCCCACCAGAUACUACGCCGCCUUCAGCGCAUCAGAGCCCAGGCAAUCUCCUCCCUCUGGCCGGGCGUGCAGGCUCCACGCACCCCGAGUCGGACUGCCGACUGGUUGGAGGUGGCGGCCGACCGCCUGGAGGCCUGGAAGGGCUCUGUAGCCCGGGAAGGAGCGUGCCGAGCCCUGGAAUUUGUCAAGGCGUGGUACCCUGGGAUAGAUGUAGCCCAGUUGACCAUGUUUUGGCUGGAAGCACAGGAGGAGCUGGUGGCGGGUGGAAGCCGAGCUUAUCAGCAGGGCGGCGGCGAUUGUUGGGGAACGUUGCAUAAAAUAAAAUUUUUCCUACGUUCACCAAGAUCCAUCUAUGAGUUCAUCUAG